CCUACGGGCGGCAGCAGUGGGGAAUAUUGCACAAUGGGGGAAACCCUGAUGCAGCGACGCCGCGUGAGUGAAGAAGUAUUUCGGUAUGUAAAGCUCUGUCAGCAGGGAAGAAAAUGACGGUACCUGACCAAGAAGCCCCGUCGAACUACGUGCCAGCAGCCGCGGUAAUACGGAGGGGGCAAGCGUUAUCCGGAUUUACUGGGUGUAAAGGGAGCGUAGACGGCAGGGCAAGUCUGGAGUGAAAGGCGGGGGCUCAACCCCCGGAGUGCAAUGGAAACUGGCAGGCUGGAGUGCAGGGGAGGUAAGUGGAAUUCCUGGUGUAGCGGUGAAAUGCGUAGAUAUUAGGAAGAACCCCAGUGGCGAAGGCGGCUUACUAGACUGUAACUGACGUUGAGGCUCGAAAGCGUGGGGAGCAAACAGGAUUAGAUACCCGUGUAGUC
rnacentral:rRNA from 1 species